rnacentral:rRNA from 1 species
GAUGAACGCUGGCGGCGUGCCUAAUACAUGCAAGUCGAGCGAACGGAUGAGAAGCUUGCUUCUCUGAUGUUAGCGGCGGACGGGUGAGUAACACGUGGAUAACCUACCUAUAAGACUGGGAUAACUUCGGGAAACCGGAGCUAAUACCGGAUAAUAUUUUGAACCGCAUGGUUCAAAAGUGAAAGACGGUCUUGCUGCCACUUAUAGAUGGAUCCGCGCUGCAUUAGCUAGUUGGUAAGGUAACGGCUUACCAAGGCAACGAUGCAUAGCCGACCUGAGAGGGUGAUCGGCCACACUGGAACUGAGACACGGUCCAGACUCCUACGGGAGGCAGCAGUAGGGAAUCUUCCGCAAUGGGCGAAAGCCUGACGGAGCAACGCCGCGUGAGUGAUGAAGGUCUUCGGAUCGUAAAACUCUGUUAUUAGGGAAGAACAUAUGUGUAAGUAACUGUGCACAUCUUGACGGUACCUAAUCAGAAAGCCACGGCUAACUACGUG